UGCAUUCGUACUCUCCCACCCCACAGCCACAGCUGCUCCAGCAGUUGAAUGUUUUCCACUCCUCCAGAGGACCUCUUCUUUCAGCCCAGCCUCCCCGAGGAUUUUCACUGGGCCAAAGGAGAGUUUGGGCCCCACACACCAAAGCUGUGGAUGGAACAGAACCCCCGAAGUCGUGGUCAGGGGUCUGCACAGGUUGUGGCGAGGUGUCCCCAUUUCUGACCCUUGGGCUCUGCAGGUGGCAGUGAGGAGGGAGCAAAGCCCCUUGCUCCGUGCUGCAGAAGGAAGGACAGAGCGGGCUAUGGGGUAAAACCGGUUCUAUAUUUAAGGGCUGCUCUGGGUUGUUAUGGCAACAGGAAUUCCAGCCACCACCGCGGGCUCCUCCGACGCCUCCCUGCCAUCCUCUGCAGAGCCCAACUUUGCAUCACGCAGCAGCCUCCUGCCUAACGCUUGGGCUGAACGGGAGCGGAAAAAAUGUGCAGCUCAUCUUCUCACAGAGCUUUAUCCUGCGGGAGCGGAAAGCAAACGAGAACGGCUCUAACAACUGCCCGUGGAUACGGGCACCAAAACCCAGCUCCAGCAGCUGAAGGGUUCAGACCCUCUCAGCCUGUGGGGCCCACAGGGACCCCCGGCAUGGCAAAGCCAGCAGCUAUCAUGCUGGAAUUCAUAAACAGAAAAGCUGUAUGUGAGACACAUGCCCUGCUACUUCAGCCUCGGCUGGAGUCCUGCAUCCAAGUUUGGGCACUGCUCAUCAAGAAAGUCAGGCCCCAACUGGCGAGAGCCCAGAGGGCAGCAAAAGGAGUGACCAGGGACGCAGAAAGCAGCCUCUGAGGAGAGGUGGAGGAAAGUGGGCCAGCUCAUGGAAACAGAAGGCAGAGCAGAGAUGGGGGAAGAGCUUUCCCUUCAUAAAAAGCUUCCCUAGAAGA